rnacentral:sRNA from 2 species
GGGUAGCCCCGAUAGUAGCGGCAGCCUGUUCUUGCGAGGAACGAUGCAAUGAACAGCUAUAGCGAAUAGCGGGAGGAGUG